AGAUUGUCAGGCAUAGACAGCUGUCCACUUCGAUCCAAUCUUUUCUCAAAUAACUGGUUCUGUCUAUUAAAUUCCUCCAAUUUUUCUCGAAGAUAUAUGAUCUCAGAGUCCUUAAGCCUCAACUGAGACUCCAAUUUCUUCCCCAUAAUUUCAUAGGUCUUUGAAACACUCUUUUGCUCCUGAACUUCAGCCAACAGCAAAGUAGUCUCCGGAGAAGGAUCAAACUGUUUUUUCAAAUGGCACUGUUUCAACGCAGACAAAUUCUUCAACUCGGAAACCACUAAUUUAUCAGCUGCUUGGAUCCCAUCAACAUCAUAAGGAGACUGCGCACACUGUAACUGAGCAUAUGAAAUGCUGGCGAACAGUUUUGCAAGAAGAGCUUCCACAGCCAAACUCUUUUGGUGUUCGUCAUCAUUGCUGAUGUUGAAGGACUGACGCAGACUGAUUGUGCUCUUAUUGCCAAUCUUAUUAUCAUUCUUGACCUGUUCCUGGGACUUGACUUUUUGCACACCAUCAACUGGAGCAAUCCCAGUUGCAGCACGAAGAUGAAGAACUUUCGCCACCGUGCGUGCCAAGCUUACUCUUUUUUGGAGUCACGGAAGAUGGUUUAACAGAAGCCAGCUCGAAAAUGCAGGGAAAUUUCGUCAAUUUCUGUUCAUAGAAAAAUCUCAAGGAACAGAGACCCACACGACCUCGCUAUUGCCGACCUCUACAAGACCAAAAACCCUUGAAAACUAAGAACCUUCACAGAAAAAUCUGUCAGUUUGACGCAAAAAACAAAUAAAAACUGAUAAGCACUUCUCUCCAACGUCUUCGUUGAUUCUUUCCAAAUUAAUCUAAUCAAGAAACUUGCUUUUCUUACAGCAGAGAUUAAAUCGCUAUUGCCAUAAAAGC
rnacentral:misc_RNA from 1 species